GAUGAUUCAGCAGAAUAUUUGUUAUAAAAGAACCCCCUGAUUAACGUAUAGAAAUACUGAGAGGAUUGGGUUUCUUGAGAGACAUAAAUGCUUAACCUGAAAAAUAUGGAUAGUAAUUCCAUUGUGCUAUUUGAUGAUUCAACAGAAUAUUUGUUAUAAAAGAACCACCUGAUUAACGUAUAGAAAUACUGAGAGGAUUGGGUUUCUUGAGAGACAUAAAUACUUAACCUGAGAAAUAUAGAUAGUAAUUCCAUUGUUCUAUCUGGUAAGAUUUUUGUGCUGUUUAUUCAUAGAGGCAAAGCGCCUUAGAUUACAAUAUUAUUUUUUAUUUUCCAGAUGAUUCAGCAGAAUAUUUGUUAUAAAAGAACCCCCUGAUUAACGUAUAGAAAUACUGAGAGGAUUGGGUUUCUUGAGAGACAUAAAUGCUUAACCUGAAAAAUAUGGAUAGUAAUUCCAUUGUGCUAUUUGAUGAUUCAACAGAAUAUUUGUUAUAAAAGAACCACCUGAUUAACGUAUAGAAAUACUGAGAGGAUUGGGUUUCUUGAGAGACA